ACUCCUACGGGAGGCAGCAGUGGGAAUAUUGGACAAUGGGGACCGGUAGCAUCAGCCAUGCCGCGCUGUGUGAAGAAGGCCUUAUGGUUGUAAAGCACUUUAAGCGAGGAGGAGGCUACUAGUAUUAAUACUACUGGAUAGUGGACGUUACUCGCAGAAUAAGCACCGGCUAACUCUGUGCCAGCAGCCGCGGUAAUACAGAGGGUGCGAGCGUUAAUCGGAUUUACUGGGCGUAAAGCGUGCGUAGGCGGCCAUUUAAGUC
rnacentral:rRNA from 1 species